AGUAAGAUGCGCGAGAUCCACGCUUUGGCUGCAUCACAAGCAUGAGUGCCAUGUCCUUCAGGGGAAUGUCUAACGUCAGGACAUUCACCGGGUCAGGGUUUUAAAGCGAGCGUGAUCUAGCUCUGGAUAGAUGAAUUAGCAAUGGGGGUCUUAGGAAUCUCAAGAUGGUUCAUUCAUUUCUCAAUUCGUUCCGUCACUUCCUUCACAAUGUUUAACUCAUGGCACAGACAUGAAUCUGGUACAAGUUAAGCAAUACAGCGUCAUGAUUGGAGCGCCAGGUCUGUGUGGUCCAGGCCUGGUAAUCCAAUGGACCACCAUGUGUCAGACUGUUAUUGCUUGUAAAUCUUGUAUUGGGUGAUUGUUUGUGUCUUGGGUUAAAUACUUGGGAAGGAACGGACAGAUCUAGUUGAGACUUGAACAAGUCAUCUUGUGAUUUCUGAUAUCUCUAUUGGUUUGAAGUCUAUGUGGAGUCAAGGUUGCGUAAACUUGAAGAAUCCCGGCUAUAAGGACGGACUGCCAUGCCCCACCAAACCCCAGACGGGAUCGGACGGGAACGGACGGGAUCAGACGGGGUCGGACGGGACCCAGACCAUCUUCUUCUUUUUUUUUCCCUUUUUUUCUGUUUCAGGUGGUUCUGUUGAGGAGGCCUCCCCGUGGCAGAACUGGUAACAGCUUAACAUAUUUAUCGGCAAAUAAGCCCAUGCCUAAAAAUUGGCCAUUCCCCCGCCAAAUCAUUUUUGCAGAAUAAUUGAUUUAACCUAAAAAAAAAAGUACUCCCCAAAUUUUGAUACUAAACUUAAAUGCUAGGGCAGGGGAUUUAUUCAACAUAAAUAUGGUACACAUAAAUCUAUGUUUAUGUGGGCUGGCUAACAUCCUCAUUCUGUACAUGUCUCCCCUUAAAAGUAUGGAAAUACUUUGUAUUUGUACCGUCUUUCAACAAUUUCUUGUCUGGGUAACUACUUCUAAAUCGUAUAUACGUCUUGGCAGAACUAGCUGCUAGCUAGGUCACUGUGACCUUGAUACAGAAGGUCAAAUAACUGAAUUUUUGUUUCAAUCAGUUUCUUGUCUAGCUAGGCUGUAUCUUUUAAAACAAAUAAAAUUGUAAACCUUUAUCACUCAAUGAAGAAGAACGGGGCCCGGACUUUCUUUCUGCGGAUGAUAUACAUUUUUAUCAAUCUUUAAUUUUUUGUAUGCAUUAUUUUCAUGAUAUGUAGUUGAUUUCCUGAAAGGAAUUUUAAUUCGUCAUUUUUAUAUUUUUUUGGGCAAAAGUUAUUGCCCUUUGUUUAUUUCAAGGCACCUAGCUGCUUCAUUUUUUGACCAAUUUCCUUGAAACUUUUAGGCUUUAUAAUCAUGAUAUACAUGUAUAGAGCAUUUUGAUUGACUAUUUUUUCAAAAAUGAUUGGCCAUUAUUUAUUUUUUGUACUUUGAUCUUGCUCCAGCCUAUGGUAUUUUAGUUCCAAUAAUUUCUUGUUUGGAUCUUCUGUAAACUGAUCAAGGCUGAUAUUAAAUUAGGGGAGACAUGUUCUUUCUUCACAAACCUCUAUUCCCAUUUUUUGAAUGCUCUCAUUGCUCUCCCAAUUUCUAGCAAAACAUGUAUGCUAGCACCUGAAAUUUUCCUUGUUAAUAAACAGAUU